AUUUACAUUAAAAGCCUCCUUUGCCUGCAGCGGUGCUAUGCGAAGAUCCCGAUGUAAAAAAUGCUGCCAAGGAGGAGGGUUCCAAGCCCCCUUACAAAGUCAAGUCUACGGUGACUUUUAGUUGCGUAUCUGGAUAUACUAUGACAGGAACUCGCACCCAAACAUGUGGACUAAAUGGUCAGUGGGCGCCUGGACUUCCAACGUGUGCACUAACGACAACCACCAAACGUCCCACUACCACCAAGAAAACCAUAGGUGACUCUGGGACGGUUGAUCCUCCUGAAAACAAAGGAAAUGGGAUGGCUAUAGGGUUGGGUCUAGGUUUGACCGUCCUCAUUGGUAGUGUCCUCACUGUCUUGGGAUGCUAUUUCUGUGGAGUUCCGGCAUGCAUCAAAGAGAAAAAACGCUCUCGGAGAGGCUUUCCUGUCAAUGCCGCUCCGUCAGCGGAUGAGGAGGUAGCGCUCUCGUAA
ensembl:lncRNA